UACGAAGGGGGCUAGCGUUGCUCGGAAUCACUGGGCGUAAAGCGCACGUAGGCGGAUCUUUAAGUCAGGGGUGAAAUCCCAAGGCUCAACCUUGGAACUGCCUUUGAUACUGGGGAUCUCGAGUCCGGAAGAGGUUGGUGGAACUGCGAGUGUAGAGGUGAAAUUCGUAGAUAUUCGCAAGAACACCAGUGGCGAAGGCGGCCAACUGGUCCGGUACUGACGCUGAGGUGCGAAAGCGUAGGGAGCAAACAGG
rnacentral:rRNA from 1 species